rnacentral:rRNA from 1 species
UCCUAACUCUGGCGGCGUGCUUAACACAUGCAAGUCGAACGGAAAGGCCCUGCUUUUGUGGGGUGCUCGAGUGGCGAACGGGUGAGUAACACGUGAGUAACCUGCCCUUGACUUUGGGAUAACUUCAGGAAACUGGGGCUAAUACCGGAUAGGAGCUCCUGCUGCAUGGUGGGGGUUGGAAAGUUUCGGCGGUUGGGGAUGGACUCGCGGCUUAUCAGCUUGUUGGUGGGGUAGUGGCUUACCAAGGCUUUGACGGGUAGCCGGCCUGAGAGGGUGACCGGCCACAUUGGGACUGAGAUACGGCCCAGACUCCUACGGGAGGCAGCAGUGGGGAAUAUUGCACAAUGGGCGGAAGCCUGAUGCAGCAACGCCGCGUGCGGGAUGACGGCCUUCGGGUUGUAAACCGCUUUCGCCUGUGACGAAGCGUGAGUGACGGUAAUGGGUAAAGAAGCGCCGGCUAACUACGUG